rnacentral:tRNA from 1 species
GCCUGGGUGGCUCAGUCAGUUGGGCAUCUGACUUCGGCUCAGGUCAUGAUCUCGUGGUCUGUGAGUUCGAGCCCCGCAUCGGGCU